rnacentral:lncRNA from 1 species
GAGCUUCUCCACAAGAGUCAGAAUCAGGAUACUGGAAACUGUGUUUUCAGAAGCCAUGGGCAUUUGCAUGCUGCUCCCUGGGGAGGACCUUCCUGCAAUGGUGACAUGUAAGCUCAGCUCUAACUUGCCCUUGACUCACGAGGACUCCUCAGCUCAGCUUCUCAAGAUGAGGCUCCCUGCUCAGCUCCUGGGGCUGCUGCUGCUCUGGAUCCCUGGUGAGGACAGAGA